CGGGGAAUAUUGGACAAUGGGCGCAAGCCUGAUCCAGCCAUGCCGCGUGAGUGAUGAAGGCCCUAGGGUUGUAAAGCUCUUUUGUGCGGGAAGAUAAUGACGGUACCGCAAGAAUAAGCCCCGGCUAACUUCGUGCCAGCAGCCGCGGUAAUACGAAGGGGGCUAGCGUUGCUCGGAAUCACUGGGCGUAAAGGGUGCGUAGGCGGGUUUCUAAGUCAGAGGUGAAAGCCUGGAGCUCAACUCCAGAACUGCCUUUGAUACUGGAAGUCUUGAGUAUGGCGGAGGUGAGUGGAACUGCGAGUGUAGAGGUGAAAUUCGUAGAUAUUCGGAAGAACACCAGUGGCGAAGGCGACUCACUGGACAAGUAUUGACGCUGAGGUACGAAAGCGUGGGGAGCAAACAG
rnacentral:rRNA from 1 species